rnacentral:piRNA from 1 species
UACAACUUGAAGAGUGUUGUCGGGUUUAA